CCUACGUGUGGCAGCAGUGAGGAAUAUUGGUCAAUGGGCGAGAGCCUGAACCAGCCAAGUCGCGUGAGGGAGUACUGCCCUAUUGGUUGUAAACCUCUUUUGUCGGGGAGCAAAAGCCGGACGUGUCCUGCUGUGAGAGUACCCGAAGAAAAAGCAUCGGCUAACUCCGUGCCAGCAGCCGCGGUAAUACUGAGGAUGCGAUCGUUAUCCGGAUUUAUUGGGUUUAAGGGGUGCGCAGGCGGAUUUUUAAGUCAGCGGUCAACUCGUGGGGCUCAACCCCCUCCAGCCGUUGAAACUGGGGAUCUAGAGUGUGCGAGAGGUAUGCGGAAUGCGGGGUGUAGCGGUGAAAUGCAUAGAUAUCACGCAGAAAUCCGAGUGCGAAGGCAGCAUACCGGCGCUCAACUGACGCUCAUGCACGAAAGUGUGGGUAUCGACCAGGAUUAGAUACCCGAGGAGUC
rnacentral:rRNA from 1 species